GCCUAAAGCGUCCGUAGCCGGCUCUGUCAGUUUUCGGUUAAAUCCAUAUGCUCAACAUAUGGGCCGCCGGGAAUACUACAAAGCUAGGGAGUGGGAGAGGUAGACGGUACUCCGUAGGAAGGGGUAAAAUCCUUUGAUCUAUGGAUGACCACCAGUGGCGAAGGCGGUCUACCAGAACACGUUCGACGGUGAGGGAUGAAAGCUGGGGGAGCAAACCGGAUUAGAUACCCGGGUAGUCCCAGCUGUAAACUAUGCAAACUCAGUGAUGCAUUGGCUUGUGGCCAGUGCAGUGCCGCAGAGAAGUCGUUAAGUUUGCCGCCUGGGAAGUACGUACGCAAGUAUGAAACUUAAAGGAAUUGGCGGGGGAGCACCACAAGGGGUGAAGCCUGCGGUUCAAUUGGAGUCAACGCCAGAAAUCUUACCCGGAGAGACAGCAGGAUGAAGGUCAAGUUGAAGCCUUUACCAGACAAGCUGAGAAGUGGUGCAUGGCCGUCGCCAGCUCGUGCCGUGAGGUGUCCUGUUAAGUCAGGUAACGAGCGAGAUCCUUGCCUCUAGUUGCCACCAUUACUCUCAGGAGUAGUGGGGCGAAUUAGCGGGACUGCCGUAGUUAAUACGGAGGAAGGAGAGGGCCACGGCAGGUCAGUAUGCCCCGAA
rnacentral:rRNA from 1 species